rnacentral:rRNA from 1 species
UACGUAGGGACCAAGCGUUGUUCGGAUUUACUGGGCGUAAAGGGCGCGUAGGCGGCAAUUCAAGUCAGCUGUGAAAUCUCUGGGCUUAACCCAGAACGGCCAGCUGAUACUGCUUUGCUAGAGUGCAGAAGGGGCAAUCGGGAAUUCUUGGUGUAGCGGUGAAAUGCGUAGAUAUCGAGAGGAACACCUGCGGCGAAGGCGGGUUGCUGGGCUGACACUGACGCUGGAGGCGCGAAAGCUAGGGGAGCGAACGGG